GGGGCCGACUGGUUUUGACAGCGGGUCUAAUUGUAUUGUAAGCAUGCCGAGCGCUGGGAUAUAGCUCGUAAAUAUCAUAUUUCACACUUUUUAAACGGCGAGAAUAACUACGCCCUAGCUGCAUAAUCUGAAUUAUAGUAGGAUGUGCCUCGGCCCACAAGGUGGGCAAGCAGGAAGUCACUCAACGGCCUUGGUUUACGGCGGUUGACAUAGUGGCUUCGUAAAAGUAAACCUAGCAAUGUUAGUGCUUUGAUGACAUUGCGAAACUCAAGUAAAGCUAAGGAGUACGUUGGUAGUUUUCGACCGGCAAGCUCUCGAAAAAUUAAAUGAAAACUAAGCAUGUAGAAAGCAGUAGAAUUACUUGUUUGGACGGGAGUUCGAAUCUCCCCGGCUCCACAA
rnacentral:tmRNA from 1 species